CGCACGGGUGCGGAACGCGUAUGGAACCUGCCCCUGUCAGGGGAAUAGCCCAGGGAAACUUGGAUUAAUGCCCCAUGGUACCGUGAUAUCGCAUGAUAUUGCGGUUAAAGAUUUAUCGGACAGGGAUGGCCAUGCGUACCAUUAGUUAGUUGGUAAGGUAACGGCUUACCAAGGCAGCGAUGGUUAGGGGCCCUGAGAGGGGGAUCCCCCACACUGGUACUGAGACACGGACCAGACUCCUACGGGAGGCAGCAGUGAGGAAUAUUGGACAAUGGUGGGAACACUGAUCCAGCCAUGCCGCGUGCAGGAUGACUGCCCUAUGGGUUGUAAACUGCUUUUAUACGGGAAGAAACCUCCCCUCGUGAGGGGAGCUGACGGUACCGUAAGAAUAAGGACCGGCUAACUCCGUGCCAGCAGCCGCGGUAAUACGGAGGGUCCGAGCGUUAUCCGGAAUCAUUGGGUUUAAAGGGUCCGUAGGCGGGCCUGUAAGUCAGGGGUGAAAGUCUGUGGCUCAACCAUAGAAUUGCCUUUGAUACUGCAGGUCUUGAGUCAUGGUGGGGUUGCCGGAACAUGUGGUGUAGCGGUGAAAUGCAUAGAUAUCACAUAGAACACCGAUCGCGAAGGCAGGUGACCAACCAUGUACUGACGCUGAUGGACGAAAGCGUGGGUAGCGAACGGGAUUAGAUACCCCGGUAGUCCACGCCGUAAACGAUGGAUACUAGCUGUGGGGCAUUCGUGCUCCGUGGCCAAGCGAAAGUGAUAAGUAUCCCACCUGGGGAGUACGUUCGCAAGAAUGAAACUCAAAGGAAUUGACGGGGGCCCGCACAAGCGGUGGAGCAUGUGGUUUAAUUCGAUGAUACGCGAGGAACCUUACCAGGGCUUAAAUGCAGGCUGCAUGGGGUGGAGACACCCCUUUCUUCGGACUGCCUGCAAGGUGCUGCAUGGUUGUCGUCAGCUCGUGCCGUGAGGUGUCAGGUUAAGUCCUAUAACGAGCGCAACCCCUACCGUUAGUUGCCAGCAUGUAAAGAUGGGGACUCUAGCGGGACUGCCGGUGCAAACCGUGAGGAAGGUGGGGACGACGUCAAAUCAUCACGGCCCUUACGUCCUGGGCCACACACGUGCUACAAUGGCCGGUACAGAGGGAAGCCACCCCGCAAGGGGGCGCGGAUCUACAAAACCGGUCACAGUUCGGAUCGGGGUCUGCAACUCGACCCCGUGAAGCUGGAAUCGCUAGUAAUCGGAUAUCAGCCAUGAUCCGGUGAAUACGUUCCCGGGCCUUGUACACACC
rnacentral:rRNA from 1 species